rnacentral:rRNA from 1 species
GACGGAAGGUGCAAGCGUUGCUCGGAAUCACGUGGCGUAAAGGGUGCGUAGGCGGCCGUGCAAGUCUGGCGUGAAAGCCCCGGGCUCAGCCCGGGAAGUGCGCUCGAAACUGCGCGGCUCGAGUGCCGGAGGGGAGAGUGGAAUUCCUGGUGUAGCGGUGAAAUGCGUAGAUAUCAGGAGGAAUACCGGUGGCGAAGGCAGGUCUCUGGGCAUUAACUGACGCUGAGGAGCGAAAGCAUGGGGGAGCGAACAGG